AGAUGAGGCAGCGCAGGGGCUGCUGCUUCGCCACCUGCUGCUUGGCCACCUGCUGCUUCGCCGCGAAAGAGUUCCCGUGCCGUGGGAGCAAGUCUGGGACCGCUGGUCGGACCCGAGAGUCCCAGCUGUGUGUUAGGGCUAGGAUGGCUCCGGGAUUCGUGUGAGGCAAGUGACCGUGCGUGUAAAGGGAUACGUGAUCCCUUGCUCAGGCUGAAGAACUGACCCACUUACAACAGAAGAUGCAGGAAGGGAGAAGUGUCUGCUACCUUUUCACCCAGCAUGUGAAGAACACAGUCAAGUCUUUUGGGGCCUUCUCAGGAACACUGGCAUUGCCUACUACCAGAGACAGAGAUUCUGUGAGCAAAUGGUACAAGGAAGCCAGCUGACAGAGAUCCUUGUCAGAAAACUUGCCACAGAAGAUGAGAUCCAGAGCCAGUGGCAGCACCUGAAGUAAACCCUUUUCAUCAACAACGGCCUGCAAGAAAAGCUGGAACGUCAUCUCAGCAGCUUUGACAAAGAAAAUGGUAGGAGAGGCCCAAGUCGGCCUGCUUCUGGCAAUAUGUAUUUUUCUAAAGGAUGCACCUCUAACCUCUACAGGCACAUCAUAGAUUCCAUUGCCCAGCUGUAUAAUGAAAACAGAGUUCUCAGAGAAUACCGGAGACUCCCCUGACUUGCCUGAAUCAAGUUUCCAGAG
rnacentral:lncRNA from 1 species